rnacentral:rRNA from 1 species
AUAUCAAUAAGCGGAGGAAAAGAAACCAACUGGGAUUGCCCUAGUAACGGCGAGUGAAGCGGCAACAGCUCAAAUUUGAAAUCUGGCUCUUUUAGAGUCCGAAUUGUAAUUUGUAGAGGGUGUUUCGGCGUAGACCAUGGUCUAAGUGCCUGGAAUGGCAUGUCAGAGAGGGUGAGAACCCCGUCUUUGGCCAGUGGUUUGCGCCAUGUGAAACCCCUUCAACGAGUCGAGUUGUUUGGGAAUGCAGCUCUAAAUGGGAGGUAAAUUUCUUCUAAAGCUAAAUACUGGCCAGAGACCGAUAGCGCACAAGUA